rnacentral:rRNA from 1 species
AGAGUUUGAUCCUGGCUCAGGACGAACGCUGGCGGCGUGCCUAAUACAUGCAAGUCGAGCGAACUUGCGGGAGCUUGCUCCCAAAAGUUAGCGGCGGACGGGUGAGUAACACGUGGGCAACCUGCCUAUAAGACUGGGAUAACUUCGGGAAACCGGAGCUAAUACCGGAUCAUUCUUUUCUACACAUGUAGAAAAGCUGAAAGACGGUUUACGCUGUCACUUAUAGAUGGGCCCGCGGCGCAUUAGCUAGUUGGUGAGGUAACGGCUCACCAAGGCCACGAUGCGUAGCCGACCUGAGAGGGUGAUCGGCCACACUGGGACUGAGACACGGCCCAGACUCCUACGGGAGGCAGCAGUAGGGAAUCUUCCGCAAUGGACGAAAGUCUGACGGAGCAACGCCGCGUGAGUGAUGAAGGUUUUCGGAUCGUAAAACUCUGUUGUUAGGGAAGAACAAGUACGAGAGUAACUGCUCGUACCUUGACGGUACCUAACCAGAAAGCCACGGCUAACUACGUGCCAGCAGCCGCGGUAAUACGUAGGUGGCAAGCGUUGUCCGGAAUUAUUGGGCGUAAAGCGCGCGCAGGCGGUCCUUUAAGUCUGAUGUGAAAGCCCACGGCUCAACCGUGGAGGGUCAUUGGAAACUGGGGGACUUGAGUGCAGGAGAGAAGAGUGGAAUUCCACGUGUAGCGAUGAAAUGCGUAGAGAUGUGGAGGAACACCAGUGGCGAAAGCUACUCUAUGGCCUGUAACUGACGCUCAAGCUCGAAAGCGUGAGGAGCAAACAGGAUUAGAUACCCUGGUAGUCCACGCCGUAAACGAUCAGUGCUAAUUGUUAGAGGGUUUCAGCCCUUUAGUGCUGCAG